rnacentral:lncRNA from 1 species
UAAACAGGGCGCACUUCUCCGGGCAGGAGGCAGCCGGGGGCAGUCCGGCGCUGAACGGGUAGCCGGCUGCCUGCUCGUAGGCGCCGAGCGCCGGGUGCAGGGCAGCAGCUGCUGCCGCUGCAGCCGCCGAGCUGGGCAGGGAGGCAGCCGAGAUGGCCUGGCCCUGGUUGAUGAGUUACCAAAGCAGUUGGGAAACAGAGGCAGAGGACUGCCCCCACUCUGUCCGCAGCAGGGGUAUGGGAGGCAGCUCGGGACACUCCAGGGACCAAGCGGGCAGUGGGCGCCGUCCCCGAGGAACACCCAGCCCAGCGCCCCUGGUUCUGGGCUGGUUGGCUUAUCGAGGCCGGUUGGCCAAAGCAUCAGGAAAGGGAACAUUCUCGGCCGGGUGUUGGAUACCAAAUUAUAAACGCCAGAGCACCUUGUGUAAAGAUGAAUAUCGUUUUGUUACUGCGGGAGGGAAUACACCUACUGCUUUGAAAGGAGUUUAAAAUAUUCAGCAGACAGCACCGCAUUGAAAUUAGUGCAUUGAGCUGCAGACCAAACUAAUUUCUAGAACAGUCUAAAAAGUAAAAACAAAGUUUGGCAAAAAUGACAACUUUGCUUGAGAACAGCUCUGGAAAAGCGAAUCCACUGAGAGCCGUGGGAAUUCUCCGCCAGCUGUGCUUCCCCAACCGAGGAAGAAUCCAACCCGGAAUAUCGUUUCUGGACCCCACCGCGGAGACCCCAGCUGGACCCUCUCCUGAAAACUGCCCGGGGAGGGGGGUGCGGUCUCAGCGCCCUCCACUGCGGGGUCCAAGGCGCAGUAGCGGGGCGCGACCCCAGCGCUCCAAGCCCAGCAUUCUUGGCAGCUCUCCAGGCCCCAGUCAGAGGCACAUUGACCUUGAAGUUGCACUUGACUCGCCCACUCGGGGCUGCCUGGUGGCGCCUGGGUCAGCUUGAAACCCACGCAGCUGAGGGAGCUAGGUGUGGGGUUCACCAUACUGCGCCCCCGCCGGAUUUGGGAGCGCGGGAUCUACUCGGAGGCAGAGAGAUUAGCCCCAGAGGUCAAGCCUUUCGGCGUCGUUUUGUCAUCUGUAUUUUCUCGUCCCCUUCGCCGCCGAGUCCUACAAAGCUCACUUCAGAGAGACUGGGUCCACAUGUGUGGGCUCAUGAGGAGGAGGACAGCGAGGGUGACGACGCUGGGGGACUAGCGCGAGCUGGCGCAUUCCUGGCAGUGAGCCAAGGGCCCCCCGUCUUGCUAGUCUUUCCAAGUUGCUUGGCAAUUCCAAAAAUUUCGACUGUGGGAAAGUUGAAACUUGUUCGUAUAGCGUUCUUUCGAAAAGAUUUUCCUUGUCUGUAUCUAUUUUACAGAAAACAUACUGGUCCUCACUACUGUUUGGGGACGAGUUAGCCUAAAUUUGAACAGACCUUGAAGACAAACCCUGAGCCCCGGGAGGCAGCCUUCUCAGCGCGAGGUGCACACACAAGUCCCCGAGCCCACCGCGAGGGUCUCACCUGGCUCCUGCGUGGUCUUUCCCCACUUUGGCGACUUUGAAGGCCAGGGGGACCGUACAGUGAGCGAAUAACUUAGCGCCUGCAUUAUCACUGCUGAAACCUCAGAGAACAAUGUAGGACAUGCGGGUGCAGGUAGAGCAAAACUAGUGAAAAGAGUUUAUGAGGAAUUCAUACCGCCUCGCCUACUUGGGACAACUCCUUCAUUCAGUUGUCCUCCCUAGGGGGCUGUUAUGCUUAUUUGUGUCAGACCCUUCUUUCCCCUGGAAUCUUAUCAUCACAGAAUAUUAAACAUUUGAAAAAAUUUUAAAGAUUAAACUUGUUCGAGGAAAAAAUGGUAAACACUGUUAGGGAUUGCCUGGCGUGCACAAAUUAAGGAAAGAAAGAAACUGAAAAUUUCAGCGCGGCUUUGGGAAUUUUUAGCUUUGCGAUUUAAAACCCACAGCGCCAUCUCCUGGUAAUGAGGAGAAUAUAGCGAUGGAUGACAAUACUGAAAUGCUGACUAUGAAAUACUCAAAUAUGAGAAACGCCUCAAAAAUUAUUUCAGUGAUAGGUUGAUUAUGAUUACAAAAUAUGAUCUGACAUGGACAUUUAUUAUCAUUAAAAGUUAUCAGACACAAUCCUGGAAGCUAAUUAUUUGUAAAUAGAAGUUUGUAUAUUUAUACAUACAUGUAUUUUAUAGAUUCAGACGCUUAUGCUGUGAAUUUACAAGAUAUGAUUCUAUAAUUUAUCAUAAAUACAUAAUUUUACAAAACAGUUCCCUGUUUUACUUUUUGUGAAUGAUUUUACCAUAUAUGGUAGAAAAAGAAUAAUAGGAUGUGGUGAUCUAUGGAGACAUAAAAUCUUCUAGAUCCUCAUUGUAUUUUACUAGUCAACAUUAAUAAAUACUUUAGCCCCAUUGUCUCAAUAACUUCUCACUUUAUCUAUGUCUUCUCAUCAUGCAAUCUUACAGAAUGUCUUACUGUCUUAAUGUUAAGACAUCAUGACAAAAAUGUGUUAACAUUAUUCAGACAUUCUGAUCCUGAAAUAUCAUCUGAAGUUAAAUUAUUUUCCAAAAGUUUAAUGCACAUAAUAGAAUCAUAAAUACUUAAUACUUUUCUAUUAAAAUGUUUCUGAAGUAUUCUUUCAAGCUUUUCUCCCUUUUAUAAAUAAGAUUGAAACACACUAAAAUUUAGAGAUGAUAUCCCUAUUAAAAACAUUUCUCCUCUAUGAUUGUAUACACAGGCCAGCUGCUUGAAAUAAAAAUAAAAGUAGAUAUGCUUUUUGUAGUGUACAAAAUAUUAUGAAUAUCCUUCAAAAUUGUAGAUCAAACAGACAAAUGUAAACUUCAGUUGAAAGAUUCAUUUUAUUUGAUUAAUUAAAGUGAAGAUCUAUUAAGCCAAAU